rnacentral:tmRNA from 1 species
GGGGCUGAUUUUAGCUUUCGACGGAAGGAUUUUAACAGAUUAUUUUGCAAGUCGACCGUGGGCGUAACCCACAUAUUUUAAUUGCAAACACAAUUGAUCGCGUUAUCGCUAAAGUACAGAGCUUUUUUGCUCCUAGCUUUGCAUACGCAACAAUCUAAGUCUUAAAACACUAGAUCAUCACCCUCUACAGGCGACAUAGAUAGAGAGUGGUGUUAUACAUAUGUCGCUUAUUGAUUCGAUGGGCAGCAACGUUGAAUUAAAACAAUUUAUUGCGCGAUAGCUGGGGCAUUUUACGUCUAGCCUCUAGCCUUAAGCCAUCGUUAAAAUAUAGGCGAGACUAAACUUGUAGAUAAAUAAUCAGUUACCUUUCGGACCCGGGGGCAGUACCCGGCAGCUCCACCA